rnacentral:rRNA from 1 species
CCUANGGGGGGCUGCAGUGAGGAAUAUUCCACAAUGGGGGAAACCCUGAUGGAGCGAUGCCGCGUGCAGGAAGACGCUUUUCGGAGUGUAAACUGCUUUUAACAGGGAAGAUUAUGACGGUACCUGUAGAAUAAGGACCGGCUAACUACGUGCCAGCAGCCGCGGUAAUACGUAGGGUCCAAGCGUUAUUCGGAAUUACUGGGCGUAAAGCGUUCGUAGGCGGUUUUGUAAGUUGGAUGUGAAAUCCUGUGGCUCAACCACAUGGACUGUGUCCAAAACUACAUGACUAGAGCAUAGUAGAGGCAAGUGGAAUUUCUGGUGUAGGAGUGACAUCCGUAGAUAUCAGAAGGAACACCAAUGGCGAAGGCAGCUUGCUGGGCUAUUGCUGACGCUCAGGAACGAAAGCGUGGGGAGCGAACGGGAUUAGAUACCCGANUANUC